rnacentral:rRNA from 1 species
UACGAAGGGGGCUAGCGUUGCUCGGAAUGACUGGGCGUAAAGGGCGCGUAGGCGGAUUGCAUAGUCAGACGUGAAAUUCCUGGGCUCAACCUGGGGGCUGCGUUUGAUACGUGCGGUCUAGAGUUUGGAAGAGGGUUGUGGAAUUCCCAGUGUAGAGGUGAAAUUCGUAGAUAUUGGGAAGAACACCGGUGGCGAAGGCGGCAACCUGGUCCUUGACUGACGCUGAGGCGCGAAAGCGUGGGGAGCAAACAGG